rnacentral:rRNA from 1 species
AACGAACGCUGGCGGCAUGCCUAACACAUGCAAGUCGAACGAGACCUUCGGGUCUAGUGGCGCACGGGUGCGUAACGCGUGGGAACCUGCCCUUAGGUUCGGAAUAACUCCCCGAAAGGGGUGCUAAUACCGGAUAAUGUCUUCGGACCAAAGAUUUAUCGCCUUUGGAUGGGCCCGCGUUGGAUUAGCUAGUUGGUAGGGUAAAAGCCUACCAAGGCGACGAUCCAUAGCUGGUCUGAGAGGAUGAUCAGCCACACUGGGACUGAGACACGGCCCAGGCUGGAGGGAGAGGAAGGGGGGGGAAAGAGUGAAGAAGGGGCAAAAGCGAGGUGGACGGAGGGGGGGGGAGGGAGGAAGGCGUUAGGGUGGUAAAGUCCUGGUAUGUGGGAAGAAAAUGACAGGGCGAGGAGAAUAAGCCCCGGCCAACGCCGUGCCAGCAGCCGCGGUAAUAAUCAGAAAAGCACACGUAGGAAC